rnacentral:rRNA from 1 species
AUCCAGAGUUUCAAAUGGGGCUGGAAAGGGAGUCUUUCAGAUGUGGAAACGCCUGAGGCCUGAAAAGGGGAGGCGGAAUUGCGGACCUCCCCUCUGAUUUCAAGGAGAAGCCUCCCACCGGCACGGCGGCACCGUUUCCUCUCUGCGGCAGCAACUCCUCCCAUCCAUCCCUCGUCCAUCCUGGCUCAGGCGCGAGAGGGUGGAGAUGAGGAGGAAGGCGCUCGCACGGGGCUUCUCCGGCGACGGCGUCCUCCGCCGCAGCCGCCCGCUCCCAGCGCGCCGCCCGCCACCGAAGGGGACAAUAGCACGAGCAAGAAUAAGAAAGGCGAGAUCGGCAGGACCAUCCGAGACAGGUUAUGGUCUUUCUCUUUCCCCAGAAGCCGCCUCUCCUGCUGGACGAGCCAGAGCCACCCGAUCCGGCGGAGCAGGAGGGGGAGCGGCACGGCCGGCGACGAACAUGGCACGCCGGUGAACGUGCCGGUGACGGCCAAGGCAAUCAGGCCCCCCUCAAGGAAGGUGGUCGCGGCAGGGACCAGAUCCCUGAUCGAACGCAACGAUUUCUACAGCCAAGAAUGCAACACGCACAAGUAGGGAGCCUGUUUUUUUCUCUUCUCGGAUGCUAUCCCUGUUUUGGGUGUGAUACUAAAAUUGUAGGACGAGGCAUUGCCCCCUUUGGGACGUAUACGAGUUUCCCCGGGUAAUAUACGUACCAACUCGAAGCUUUGUACUAGUACAAAAUUGUGCAAGUUGAUGAGUUUUCAUGAGUUCCAAACCAUGAAACCAUAGCCAGAAUCCAUGCCGUGUUGCUUGUAUGUCUACC